rnacentral:rRNA from 1 species
AUUGAACGCUGGCGGCAGGCUUAACACAUGCAAGUCGAACGAGUGGCGGACGGGUGAGUAAUGCUUGGGAAUCUUGCUUAUGGAGGGGGAUACCUACGGGAAACUGUAGCUAAUACCGCGUACCAUAGGAUGAGCCCAAGUGGGAUUAGGUAGUUGGUGAGUUAAAGGCUCACCAAGCCGACGAUCACUAGCUGGUCUGAGAGGAUGACCAGCGACAUUGGGACUGAGACGAGGCCCAGACUCAUGAGGGAGGCAGCAGUGGGGAAUCUAGCGCAAUGGGGGCAACCUGACGCAGCCAUGCCGCGUGAAUGAAGAAGGCCUCCGGGUUGUAAAGUUCUUUCGGUAGAGAGGCGUUAACUACAGAAGAAGCACCGGCUAACUCCGUGCCAGCAGCCGCGGUAAUAC